rnacentral:rRNA from 1 species
GAUGAACGCUGGCGGCGUGCCUAAUACAUGCAAGUCGAACGAGGUCUUCGGACCUAGUGGCGAACGGGUGAGUAACACGUUGGUACCUACCCCGAAGUGGGGAAUAACUGCCCGAAAGGGUGGCUAAUACCGCAUAAUACCGCAAGGUUAAAGCAGUAAUGCGCUUCGGGAGGGGCCUGCGUCCCAUUAGCUAGUUGGUAGGGUAAUGGCCUACCAAGGCGACGAUGGGUAGCUGGAUCGAGAGGUUGACCAGCCACACUGGGACUGAGAUACGGCCCAGACUCCUACGGGAGGCAGCAGUAAGGAAUCUUCCACAAUGGACGAAAGUCUGAUGGAGCAACGCCGCGUGCAGGAUGACGGCCUUCGGGUUGUAAACUGCUUUUAUACGGGAAGAUUAUGACGGUACCGUAUGAAUAAGGACCGGCUAACUACGUGCCAGCCGCCGCCGUAA